AGUAAAGUGCUUCCUGUUCCACAAAGGCACAUGCCGUGCCAUGGAGAAUUGUUGACACUGAUGGACACCACCUGAAUAAAUCUGAGCUAAUCCCAUAAAGCAGAAGAGACUACAGAAGCUACUGUGAAUCACCCCAAGGCAAAGAAGCCUCUGCGCAGCUCUAUAUGCUUCUAAAAGCAGUCCUAUCUGUACUGAGCAGUGGGCCUCUGUCUACAAGCUCAUGUGAAAAACAUGAACUCUUCACGGUAUCUGGAGUCCGGCAUGGUUUCAGGAACGAAAAAUAUUUUCUAGUCACAACCCAGUUCACUCAUCUUAAUGUAGUCCUCAACAGCGAUAAAAGAGGAAAAUAAUCAUGCUCUAAUU